rnacentral:rRNA from 1 species
GAUGAACGCUGGCGGCGUGCCUAAUACAUGCAAGUCGAGCGAACAGACGAGGAGCUUGCUCCUCUGACGUUAGCGGCGGACGGGUGAGUAACACGUGGAUAACCUACCUAUAAGACUGGGAUAACUUCGGGAAACCGGAGCUAAUACCGGAUAAUAUAUUGAACCGCAUGGUUCAAUAGUGAAAGACGGUUUUGCUGUCACUUAUAGAUGGACCCGCGCCGCAUUAGCUGUUUGUUAGGUAACGGCUUACCAAGGCAACGAUGCGUAGCCGACCUGAGAGGGUGAUCGGCCACACUGGAACUGAGACACGGUCCAGACUCCUACGGGAGGCAGCAGUAGGGAAUCUUCCGCAACGGGCGAAAGCCUGACGGAGCAACGCCGCGUGAGUGAUGAAGGUCUUCGGAUCGUAAAACUCUGUUAUUAGGGAAGAACAAAUGUGUAAGUAACUAUGCACGUCUUGACGGUACCUAAUCAGAAAGCCACGGCUAACUACGUG